rnacentral:rRNA from 1 species
CCUACGGGAGGCAGCAGUGGGGAAUAUUGGACAAUGGGGGAAACCCUGAUCCAGCCAUGCCGCGUGAGUGAUGAAGGCCUUCGGGUUGUAAAGCUCUUUUGGCGGGGUACGAUGAUGACGGUACCCGCAGAAUAAGCCCCGGCUAACUUCGUGCCAGCAGCCGCGGUAAGACGAAGGGGGCUAGCGUUGUUCGGAAUUACUGGGCGUAAAGCGAGUGUAGGUGGUUGCCGUAGUCAGGUGUGAAAGCCUUGAGCUCAACUCAAGAAAUGCACUUGAUACUCGGCGACUAGAGGACCGGAGAGGAUAGUGGAAUUCCCAGUGUAGUGGUGAAAUACGUAGAGAUUGGGAAGAACACCAGUGGCGAAGGCGGCUAUCUGGACGGUUUCUGACACUAAGACUCGAAAGCGUGGGGAGCAAACAGGAUUAGGAUACCCUGGUAGUCCACGCCGUAAACGAUGGGUGCUAGACGUUGGCGGGCUUGCUCGGUCAGUGUCGUAGCGUACGUACGUUAACGUACACCCGCCGUCGGGUAGGUACGGCCGCGAACGGUUAGUAACGUACAAAGAAGUAAGUACGACGCGAGAGACGCGACGACGACGACGACGGAGGAGAG